GACGAACGCUGGCGGCGUGCUUAACACAUGCAAGUCGAACGGAGUGGCGAACGGGUGAGUAACACGUGGGUGACCUGCCCGCACUUCGGGAUACGCCUGGGCCACUGGGUCUACUACCGGAUAUUGGGGGAUGGGACCGCGUCCUAUCAGCUUGUUGGUGGGGUAAUGCCCUACCAAGGCGGCGACGGGUAGCCGGCCUGAGAGGGUGGACGGCCACAUUGGGACUGAGACAGGGCCCAGACUGCGACGGGAGGCAGGAGUGGGGAAUAGUGCACAGUGGGCGGAAGCCUGAUGCAGCGAGGCCGCGUUGGGGAUGACGGCCGUCGGGUUGGAAACUCCUUUCACCACCGACGCGGUAGAUGGAGAAGAAGCACCGGCUAACGACGUGCCAGCAGCCGCGGUAAUAC
rnacentral:rRNA from 1 species